UACGGAGGAUGCAAGCGUUAUCCGGAAUGAUUGGGCGUAAAGCGUCCGCAGGUGGCUGUGUAAGUCUGCUGUCAAAGAGCGAAGCUCAACUUCGUAAAGGCAGUGGAAACUACACGGCUAGAGUGCGUUCGGGGCAGAGGGAAUUCCUGGUGUAGCGGUGAAAUGCGUAGAGAUCAGGAAGAACACCGGUGGCGAAGGCGCUCUGCUAGGCGGCAACUGACACUGAGGGACGAAAGCUAGGGGAGCGAAUGGG
rnacentral:rRNA from 1 species